rnacentral:rRNA from 1 species
GGCCACUUCACUGCUAGAUGUCCUUAAGCUCUUUGUGAUCGUUGCAAGAAGAGGGGUCACUUAUAUGUUGUUUGCAAUGAAUUCUUUCCAUGGGAAUGCACCCCUGCGAUGUGUGCGUUUCAGUCCAAAGGGCAAGGUUUCUUUUACAUUCCUGAUUUUCGUGUGGAUAGGCAGCCUAGAGAGCGCAUUUUCAAUAUUGUUGUCACUAUUACUGAAGGGUCCGCUCCAACUAAAGAUAUUGAACAUGAGCUGAGCGUGUAUGUGGGUCAGGGGUGGAGAUGUUCGGCUAGAUUCUUUGCUCCGCAAAAAUUUGUUAUGAGAAUGCCGAAUCCUAGAGAGGUUGACAGAGCUCUUUUUGUUGAACAUGUUAGACUUAAACAAUGUGGAGUUAGUGUGAAAUUUUCCCCCUGGUCUGAGGAUAUUGACUCUGAGGGGCUUCUGGAAGUUGCAUGGGUCAGAAUUGGUAAGAUCCCACCUAACAAAAAAUGUGAUAAAGUUGUAGCUUAUGUGGGGGGAUUGGUUGGGAUCGCCCUGGAAGUGGAUAUGUCGACCAUUAAUCGUCCUUCUUCUGUCAGAGCAAAAAUAGGAUGCAGAUCUGUAUCCCAACUGCCUGUCACUGUGGAAGGAGUACUUGGGGACGCUUCUAUAAAUUCACCUAUGAAAUUGAAGAGGUUCUUGUUAAAAACCCUGUUGAUGAGGAGCCUGUGGAUCCUGUUGCUGAUGACAAAACCAAUCCUGAGUACACUUCUAAAAGGAAACAUACUGAUCAGGAGAAAAAGGAGAGCCCACCUGAUAAGCAUCGAUCUGGCAAAAAUGAUUACUCUUAUCAUGGGGGCAAGGCAUGUCGCCUGCUGCCUAGUGAUAAUGAAGAAAUUGAGGAGGAGGCCUCAUCUGAUAGUGGGGCAGACACUUCCUUGCUUAUUGAAACAAUGCAGAAGGAGAUUGAUGAUUGUGCUAGAGAGGAGAAGCUGA